AUUGAACGCUAGCGGCAGGCCUAACACAUGCAAGUCGAGCGAGCGGCGGCCGGGUGAUUUAUGUGUGGGGACUGCCCGCUGGGGGGGGAUACCUACUGGAGACGGUAGCUCAUACCGCAUACUAUCGGAUGACCCAUAUGGGAUUAGCUAGUAGGUGAGGUAAUGGCUCACCUAGGCGACGGUCCCUAGCUGGUCUGAGAGGAGGAGCAGCAACACGGGGACUGAGACACGGCCAAGACUCCUACGGAGGCAGAAGUGGGGAAUAUUGGACAAUGGGGGAAAGCCUGAUGCAGCCAUGCCGCGUGUAUGAUGAAGGCCCUAGGGUUGUAAAGUACUGUUGGUAGGGAGGCGUUACCGACAGAAGAAGCACCGGCUAACUACGUGCCAGCAGCCGCGGUAAUAC
rnacentral:rRNA from 1 species